rfam:Triticum aestivum genome assembly, contig: Triticum_aestivum_CS42_TGACv1_scaffold_230943_3B
GUAGUAUUCCCUCCGUCCCGAAAUUCUUGUCUUACAUUUGUUUAGAUACGGAUGUAUCUAAAACUAAAAUGUAACUAGAUACAUCCGUAUUUAUACGAAUUUAAGACAAGAAUUUUGGGACGGAGGGAGUACAAA